AUUGAACGCUGGCGGCAGGCUUAACACAUGCAAGUCGAGCGAGCGGCGGACGGGUGAGUAAUGUCUGGGAAACCGCCUGAUCGCGGGGGAUCACUACUGGAAACGGUAGCUAAUACCGCAUACCAUCCGAUGUGCCCAGAGGGGAUUAGCUAGUAGGGGGGGUAAUGGCUCACCAAGGCGACGAUCCCUCGCUGGUCUGAGAGGAUGACAAGCCACACUGGAACUGAGACACGGUCCAGAUUCCUACGGGAGGCAGCAGGGGGGAAUUUUGCACAAUGGGCGAAAGCCUGAUGCAGCCAUGCGGCGGGGUGGAAGAAGGCCUGCGGGUUGGAAAGCACGUUCAGCGAGGAGGCGUGACUCGCAGAAGAAGCACCGGCGAACUCCGUGCCAGCAGCCGCGGUAAUAC
rnacentral:rRNA from 1 species